UAUAAAAUUUCACUAGUUUAACUAUAAAAUAUAACUCUGAAGAAGUUAAGAUUUGUGAG
rnacentral:tRNA from 1 species